rnacentral:rRNA from 1 species
AUACGUAGGGUGCAAGCGUUAAUCGGAAUUACUGGGCGUAAAGCGUGCGCAGGCGGUUUUGUAAGACAGUGGUGAAAUCCCCGGGCUCAACCUGGGAACUGCCAUUGUGACUGCAAGGCUGGAGUGCGGCAGAGGGGGGUGGAAUUCCGCGUGUAGCAGUGAAAUGCGUAGAUAUGCGGAGGAACACCGAUGGCGAAGGCAAUCCCCUGGGCCUGCACUGACGCUCAUGCACGAAAGCGUGGGGAGCAAACAGGAUUAGACACCCUGGUAGUCCACGCCCUAAACGAUGUCAACUGGUUGUUGGGGAUUUAUUUUCUCAGUAACGAGGCUAACGCGUGAAGUUGGCCGCCUGGGGAGUACGGCCGCAAGGUUAAAACUCAAAGGAAUUGACGGGG